rnacentral:sRNA from 1 species
UAAGAUCAAAUUCUCUAUCUGGGUGUGU